rnacentral:rRNA from 1 species
AGCAGCCGCGGUAAUUCCAGCUCCAAUAGCGUAUAUUAAAAGUUGUUGCAGUUAAAAAAGCUCGUAGUUGAAUUUCGGGGGUCAGUAGGUUGGUCAUGCCUCCGGUAUGCACUGGUCUCACUGAUUCCUCCUUCCUGAUGGGCCGUAAUGCCAUUAACUUGGUGUUGCGGGGAAUCUGGACUGUUACUUUGAAAAAAAUUGAGUGUUUAAAGCAAGCUAACGCUUGAAUACAUUAGCAUGGAAUAAUGGAAUAGGACGUUCGAUCCUAUUUUGUUGGUUUCUAGGAUUGACGUAAUGAUUAAUAGGGAUAGUUGGGGGCAUUAGUAUUCAAUUGUCAGAGGUGAAAUUCUUGGAUUUAUUGAAGACUAACUACUGCGAAAGCAUUUGCCAAGGAUGUUUUCAUUAAUCAAGAACGAAAGUUAGGGAUCGAAGACGAUCAGAUACCGUCGUAGUCUUAACCAUAAACUAUAGCCGACUAGGAUCGGAUGAUGUUAAUUUUUAAUGUACUCAUUCGGCGUAC